CUUACACUAGGUUAGUGUUCAGAGAACUACCUUUUUAACCACAGUCCUCGACAGUUCUCAAUUUUUGGAUUUUUUUGGAUUUUUCUGAUCAGAUUGAAAACAUACGUUAGAAUGACAUGAAAAUAUGCAAGGAAUAGCGAAAAAAAGCAAAAACUCUCACUGGGGCUCGGGUUGGGGUUCUAGUGCAGCAGCACCGUCAUGCUCCGCCGUCUGGUCCUCCUUCUUUGGUGGUUCUUCCUCUUGGUCAAACUGAUUUUGGCUAGUUCCUGGUGAAAAUUUGUUUAAAUCGUGGUUAGGGGGUGUUUUUCGGUGAAAGGUGGAUAAAAAUAGGGCAUUAUUAGUGGUUUUAGUCCUCUGGUGCGGUGGCUUUGCCAAGCUCCACCAUUCCUCUGUCGCAGUUUGCGGCUUCUUCCGAUCACCCUGCAUUGAAAACGUGUUAGGUGGCUAAGGGCGAUGAAACAUAAAGAACAGAAAGAAAAUAUGGCUUACCGAAGUGUUUUCAGUGUUCUAACACAGUGGCACCAGCGUUCCUCCAGCGGUUGAGUCCCCUUCCGGCCACCAUUCUUCUUCUUCUCCGGUGGGUGUGUCGACUAGGGUUUGGGGAGUCGGGUAAAAGAGGUUUAAAUAUAUCUCUUUCUUCAAUCAGAGUUAUCUGUGUGGGUCCAUGUGGCACAACAGAGACUGUCUGAUCGCGACUAUUUUGGAAAUAAAUCUAGACCGUUCGAUUGGAGACACGCGAGUCGUUUGAUCAAUCUUAUUUGAAGAAUUGAUCUGGGUCGUUCGUGAGCGCGUGAGUGGCCUGAGUUGUUCAAUCAACCUAGUAUGCGGAUUGCUACUGUGGCUUUCUGCGUGGAGCCUAUGUCAACGUGCUCGCCA
rnacentral:lncRNA from 1 species